CUCUACUGAGAAGAAGAUCUGGAGUGAGAGCAGACAGUUCUGCAGAGAGAGAGGAGCAGAACUGCUGAUCAUAAACAGCAGAGAAGAACAGGAGUUUAUCAGUAAAGAAUUUGGCAGCACUGAAGCUUGGAUUGGUCUGACAGACAGUGACACAGAGGGGGUCUGGAAAUGGGUGGACGGCUCAGAACUGACCACUGAGUUCUGGUUUGAGGGAGAGCCCAAUGAUUAUGACAGAAAUGAGGACUGUGCUAUAACUGGCUAUAGUGGUGCUGGAUCUGAACGUGUAUCAACCUGGGCUGAUUAUCCCUGUGAUCACCCUGUAGUUGGGAUCUGUGAGAAAAAGAUGAAAACAGAGUGAAUGGCAGAAACUGCAGUUUUCACUCGUGGUGUUAACUUUUUGAAGUGGUACUUUUCUAUACAGCAACGUGUUUAUUGAUCUUUAUACCAGCUUUUUUAUGCUGAAUAUACAGUUAUUUAAUAAUAAAAAUGUUUUCCAUUAUAUGUAAGCCGUGAUUCUUUUAAAAUGUGUUAUAUGCAACUUCCAGAAUGAAACUCUUCAAAUGUUUCCUCAGCAAACAAUGACAGGUAUUUUUCCUCACCAGUAGGUGGCAGUAAUUGCUGUAGUAGUUA